UAGGAGGGUCGGCGCGGCGGUGAGGUUGUUUAGGGGAGCCCUAGGUAGGGGUAGGUCAGUCACGGGCGAAGGGGUUAGGUAGGGGAGGAGCUAAAGUCUACGGUCGGUUAGGGAGCUCGGCCGGCGUUCGUCGUGGCGGUCGUCCUGGAGCGCGGGGACGGAAGAGGAAAAGAAGAAAGGAGGCAGAGGGAGUAACGAGAGACAGAGUGGGCUAAGAGAGAGAGAGACAAGAGACAUAGUCGUGGUAGCGGCCUCUUCGAGGAGCACGCGCAGAUCCUCCUGCUGCGGGCUCCGGUUUGCCUAGGCGCUGUUCGAGGCGGCGGCGCGGUAGAAGUCCGCGAGCUCGUGCUCGAGCGGGCGCGGUGCAGAAGGAGGAGCAGCGCGCCCAGGUCCUCCGAGCGGCGGAUCGGACGAAGCGGGACAACGACGCGGACGAAGCGGUCCCCGGUAGGAGCGGGAGCAGGAGCGUCGUUCAUGGCUCGGGCUGGGGCAGCGGAGGAGACGAAGCGGACGCGGAUGGCGGCCGGCCGGUGCCGGUCCAGCGGAGCGGAGGAGAGCGAGAGUGAGGCCGGGAGAGAGACAGGGACAGCGAACUGACUUAAAAGGGACGGUACCGGGACAUCAAGGAGGGGCGGAGCCUCGAGGGAACGCGGCGGCCUGGGCGAAGGUAGCCGGAGGCAAGCCGUGCGGCGGCGGCCCUAGACGAGCGGCGGAGCGACUGGGCAGGGGUCGGUGGCCACGGGAGUGGCCUCCGGUGGUCGCGGUAGCGUCAGGGCAACGGCGGACGAAGGAGAGCAGUCUUUACUGGCUCGCGAGCGGGUGCACGCAACCGGCACGGGCGUACAUGGUCCGGAGCUGAGGGGUCGCGGUCGCGGAUCCGGUGGAGACGAAGCUGGGUCGCCGAGGGGAGGCGGUCGCACCGGGUCAGGUGGGGCCGGAUGGUGAGGUCGCGGACCCGGUCGCCGGAGGUUCCGGGUCGGUCGGAGGAGUUGGCUGGACCCGGUUCCGGGCUACACUCGACGGGGCGCGGACGGGACAAGUCGGGGACGAGGUCUAAGCCGGGCGUAAAGACCAUUGCAACGCAAGCACUCCUAAACAAGCUGAUGCAGGCAAGCAGAUGAAGAACCUGAGCAAGAAGAAUGAACGCCCUAAAGUCCGUUCUACUGGCGAUGGGACCUAGAGUGAUGAUAGUAACGAUACGAUCAACGAAGCAAGAUAGCGAUACGACACAAUGGAUAGAAAACGAGUAGUUCGGAGGGUUUAACGG
rnacentral:rRNA from 1 species